rnacentral:rRNA from 1 species
GCCAGACUCCUACGGGAGGCAGCAGUGGGGAAUAUUGCACAAUGGGGGGAACCCUGAUGCAGCGACGCCGCGUGGGCGAGGAAGUAUUUCGGUAUGUAAAGCCCUAUCGGCAGGGAAGAAGAAAUGACGGUACCUGAAUAAGAAGCACCGGCUAAAUACGUGCCAGCAGCCGCGGUAAUACGUAGGGGGCAAGCGUUAUCCGGAUUUACUGGGUGUAAAGGGGGCGCAGACGGCGAUGCAAGCCAGGAGUGAAAGCCCGGGGCCCAACCCCGGGACUGCUCUUGGAACUGCGUGGCUGGAGUGCAGGAGGGGCAGGCGGAAUUCCUAGUGUAGCGGUGAAAUGCGUAGAUAUUAGGAGGAACACCAGUGGCGAAGGCGGCCUGCUGGACGAUGACUGACGCUGAGGCUCGAAAGCGUGGGGAGCAAACAGGAUUAGAUACCCCGGUAU